rnacentral:rRNA from 1 species
UACAGAGGGUGCAAGCGUUGUUCGGAAUUAUUGGGCGUAAAGAGCGUGUAGGCGGCCAGGUAGGUCUGCUGUGAAAACUCGAGGCUCAACCUCGAGACGUCGGCGGAAACCAUCUGGCUAGAGUCCGGAAGAGGCGAGUGGAACUCCUGGUGUAGCGGUGGAAUGCGCAGAUAUCGGGAGGAACACCUAUUGCGAAGGCAGCUCGCUGGGACGUUACUGACGCUGAGACGCGAAAGCGUGGGGAGCAAACAGG